CUUGGCCUGGCUGCGAUCGAGCGGGCAAGGAAGCGCCAUGCCUCGCGCAUCACCUGGAUGCGGGGCGGUGAUGCCCGGUCGACCUUCUUCUAGGCCAAGAUCAACUCUAGGAGGCCGAAAAACUUCAUUCACGCCAUUCACACGACAGACUUGAUCAUCACCUUGCAUAGCGACAAGGCCAAUGGUAUCUACGACCACUUCCGCUCCUCCCUUGGGGCCGAGCCCGUCAGAGACACCACUAUAAAUUGGAGCUCGGUCAACCUUCCAUCACUGCCACCUGUCGGUUUAGACAACCUGUUUCCGGAGGAUGAGGUUUGGCAGGCGAUCUGUGCCUCGCCGCAGGAAAAAGCGCCCGGGCCGGAUGGCUUCAAUGGAACUUUCUUCCGUGCAUGCUAG
rnacentral:rRNA from 1 species